rfam:Oryza nivara chromosome 8, whole genome shotgun sequence.
AAUAAGUACUUUUUUAGCACUGUUUAUGUCUAACGUUUGACCGUUCGUCUUAUUUGAAAAAAAGUUAUGAUUAGCAUUUUUAUUGUUAUUAUAUGAUAAAACAUGAGUAGUACUUUAUAUAUGACUAUUUUUUUUAAUUUUUUCAUAAAUUUUUCAAAUAAUACGAAUGGUCAAAACGCUAAACACGGAUAUCUAUGGCUGCACUUAUU